rnacentral:rRNA from 1 species
GAUGAACGCUGGCGGCGUGCCUAAUACAUGCAAGUCGAGCGAACGGACGAGAAGCUUGCUUCUCUGAUGUUAGCGGCGGACGGGUGAGUAACACGUGGAUAACCUACCUAUAAGACUGGGAUAACUUCGGGAAACCGGAGCUAAUACCGGAUAAUAUUUUGAACCGCAUGGUUCAAAAGUGAAAGACGGUCUUGCUGUCACUUAUAGAUGGAUCCGCGCUGCAUUAGCUAGUUGGUAAGGUAACGGCUUACCAAGGCAACGAUGCAUAGCCGACCUGAGAGGGGGAUCGGCCCACUGGGAACUGGGACACGGUCCAGACCCCAACGGGGGGCAGCAGUGGGAAAUUUCCCGCAAUGGGGGAAAGCCUGAGGGGGAAACGCCGCGUGAGUGAUGAAGGUCUUCGGAUCGUAAAACCCUUUUUUUAGGAAAGAAAAUAUGUUUAAGUAACUGGGCCCAUUUUGACGGUCCCUAAGCAGAAAGCCCCGGUUAACUACGG